AACGAACGUUGGCGGCGUGGAUUAGGCAUGCAAGUCGAGGGAAUCCCAGCAAUGGGGGAACCGGCGUAAGGGGCAGUAAGGCGUGGGUACAUACCCUGGGGUUCGGGAUAGCCGUCCGAGAGGGCGGGUAAUACCGGAUGAUCUCGGGAGAGCAAAGAUUUAUCGCCCUGGGAGGGGCCCACGUGAUAUUAGCUAGUUGGCGGGGUAACGGCCCACCAAGGCGGAGAUGUCUAGCGGGUGUGAGAGCACGACCCGCGCCACUGGCACUGAGACGCUGGCCAGACACCUACGGGUGGCUGCAGUCGAGGAUCUUCGGCAAUGUGCGCAAGCACGACCGAGCGACGCCGCGUGGGCGACGAAGGCCUUCGGGUUGUAAAGCCCUGUCGAGGGGGAGAAAGGGGCAACCUUGAUCUAUCCCUGGAGGAAGCACGGGCUAAGUUCGUGCCAGCCGCCGCCGUAAAAC
rnacentral:rRNA from 1 species